rnacentral:rRNA from 1 species
AUGUCUGCCCCGCCGCCCCCCGCCUCCUCCGAUGAUGAUGGUAAGCCCGCCGACGAGGAGGGCGUAGAGAUCCGCGAGGUAUGGGCGAACAACCUCGAGGCGGAGUUCGCCGUGAUCCGUGACAUCGUCGACGAUUACCCGUACAUCGCCAUGGACACCGAGUUCCCGGGCAUCGUGUGCCGCCCGCUCGGGAGCUUUCGCUCCAAUGACGAGUACAACUACGCCACCCUCAAGGCCAACGUCGACAUGCUGAGCCUCAUCCAGCUUGGUCUCACCCUCUCCGACGAGAACGGCGCACUCCCGGCCAGGGGCACCGGGGGGCGCCCCUGCACCUGGCAGUUCAACUUUCGGGGCUUCGAUCCGCGCUCAGACCCCGCCAACGCUGACUCCAUCGACCUGCUACGCAACAGCGGGAUCGACUUCGACCGCUUCACCACCGAGGGUGCUGACACAGGCCACUUCGCCGAGCUGCUCAUGUCGUCGGGCGUCCUGCUCAACGCUGAGCUCCAGUGGGUCACAUUCCACAGUGGGUACGACUUCGGGUACCUGCUCAAGCUGCUAACCGGGCGGAACCUACCCGACACCAUGCCUGGAUUCUUUGACCUCAUCAGAAUCUACUUCCCUGUGCUGUACGACAUCAAGCAUCUCAUGAAGUACUGCGGCAGCCUCCAUGGUGGCUUGAGCAAGCUUGGUGAGCUACUUGGUGUCCAACGUGUGGGGAUCUGCCACCAGGCUGGGUCCGACUCGCUGCUGACCUUGCGGUGCUUCAAAAAGCUGAAGGAGGCAUAUUUCAGAGGAUCGACCGAGAAUUAUGCCGGUGUAUUGUAUGGUCUUAUUUCUGAUGGUGGGGAGAACAGACCACCAGCAGCUCUGCUCAUCGAAUGA